GAUGAACGCUGGCGGCGUGCUUAACACAUGCAAGUCGAACGGAAAGGCCAGUGCUUGCACUGGUACUCGAGUGGCGAACGGGUGAGUAACACGUGGGUGAUCUGCCCUGCACUUCGGGAUAAGCCUGGGAAACUGGGUCUAAUACCGGAUAGGACAAUGGUUUGGAUGCCGUUGUGGAAAGUUUUUUCGGUGUGGGAUGAGCUCGCGGCCUAUCAGCUUGUUGGUGGGGUAAUGGCCUACCAAGGCGUCGACGGGUAGCCGGCCUGAGAGGGUGUACGGCCACAUUGGGAAUGAGAAAAGGCCCAGACUCCUACGGGAGGCAGCAGUGGGGAAUAUUGCACAAUGGGCGCAAGCCUGAUGCAGCGACGCCGCGUGGGGGAUGACGGCCUUCGGGUUGUAAACGCCUUUCGCUAGGGACGAAGCGUAUUUGUGACGGUACCUGGAGAAGAAGCACCGGCUAACUACGUG
rnacentral:rRNA from 1 species